UAUAAUUUAAAGUAGGGCCUGCCCACUGAGUAUUUGAAGGGCCGCAGUAUUUUGACUGUGCAAAGGUAGCAUAAUCAUUAGUUUUUUAAUUGAAAGCUUGUAUGAAUGGUUUGAUGAGAAAAUAACUUUCUAUAUUUAAUUUAUUAAAAAUUUUAUUUUUAAGUUAAAAAGCUUAAAUAUUUUUAAUAGACGAGAAGACCCUAUAGAGUUUAAUUUUGAUAAGAUUUUUAAUUUAUAGAAUUUUAUAAUUAUAAUUUUUAUUAAAAUUUGAUUGGGGUGAUUAAAAAAUUAAAGUAACUUUUUUUAAAUUUAUACAUAAAUUUAUG
rnacentral:rRNA from 1 species